CCGCCUGACAUUUUAGCUGUAAAUGUCAUGAUACUGUUCGCUUUUACUGCAAUAAAAUGCACAUAUUUGUAUUCAGCAAUGUCUCACGAGUAAAACAGUACCCCCCAUUAACAGAUUUUACAGUGUUUUGGAAAGUUACAGGGUUAAAUAUAGCAUAUUCCAUUUUUUCACAUUAAUAUUUGCCAGAUUAGUAAUGUUAACUUUGAGACCAUGUGGUAGCCCAGGAAUGAGAAGUACCCCCAUGAUGGCAUACCAUUUGCAAAAGUACACAACCCAAGGUAUUGCAAGUGGGG